ensembl:snRNA U6 U6 spliceosomal RNA
GUGCUCACUUCAGCAGCACAUAUACUAAAUGUGGAAUGACACAGAGAAGAUUAGCAUGGCACCUGUGCAAGAGAGACUUAUUUAUAUGAAGUCAAUAUUUAU